rnacentral:lncRNA from 1 species
UACUAAAUCAGCUAGCACUAGACGGGCAAAACAUGCUCAUAAAUAUUGAUUAGUACUGGUCUAUAUGACUAUAUCCGUGCAAUACUGUACCUGACCUGGUCGACGUUGAAGUCAACUGACAAGAUCAAAGUUUUUCUGCUUAUUAAGAUAUGACCAAAGGCAACUACUGUAGUCAGAGUGACUCGUCUAGCUGGUGCCCUACUAGCUCAGAAUGGACGUUGAACUUGAAGUCAAGUAACAAGACCCAGCAUUUAUUUCUUCUACAU